rnacentral:lncRNA from 1 species
AAUAAACUGAUUUUAAGCUACCAAAUGACUAUAAAUUGUAAUUUUCUAAAAUAUUAACCAUAUUAUGUAAUUAAUAUAGAAUUUUGUCUAUAUUGUGUAAUUUUUCCUAAUUAAAUUAACACAAGGAAAUAGAGGGAGAGAAGUACAGAUUUGGACCCUCUUUUGGGCCCAUUUCAAAUCUGGCCAGCCUUUGGGCCUAUUCAUGUACUUUGGGUCCAUCUUUACUGUUGUAUAUUGGCUGUAUACCAGAGGUAUACUCUUUGUAUUUCUUGUAUAAUGGUUGUACAUCUAUGUAUAUGAUUGUAUAAAUGCAUAUAUCCUUUGUCUUCCACCUUUAUAUUUGCUUUCAUUCCUCAAUUCUUGUCGUAUAUCCUCUAUAUACUGUUGGAUAUCCAUGUAUACAACCCUAUUUCUUCAGAUGUUUAGUCCAUUUCGGACUUGUAGGAGGCUUAAACUCGAAGAUGAUAUAGUCCUCUUUGGCCCAUUGGAAAAUGCAGGAAUGGAAGUCCAUUUGGACUCAUCUCGGAUAAGGUUCAUGCACAGAAGAUAGGAUAAAAAAUUAGCAGCCGAUCAUACUAGGAUCUCAAAAAUAGGUGAUCCAGUAUAGUGGUAUAUUUAACUUCACAUAUUUACUAGUGACCUAUUUCAACAAACAAUUUAAUACAUAUACAUGGUAAAAGACAUACAAAUCAACCUCUAAUUUAAGCAACAACAUUUAAAACCCAUGAAGUCAACUGAUAUGUUUAAAAAAAAGGAGAAGUUCUCAAGAUAGACUAAUUAAAAGCCAAUCAAACAUAACAUUAAAGAGCAAAUGAAACAACCAGCAUAUGCAGUACUUUGAAAGAAAAUUCCAUCCCACCAGAAUAGCAAAAGAUUUGGUAUGGCCAAGGGAUUAUUGCCCAAAUGGAAAGACAAUUUCCAACAACUUGAAUGAGCCAAAAAUCUUGAAUACAUACAAGGAUAUCUUAAAGAACCAUGGUCAAAAUAAAGGAUUCAUGAAAAAAUUAGAGCCGAGGGGAGGUAACCAUACAAGAUCUCGAGUCUAUUAAUACUUUGGGUAGCAAAAUAAAGGUCAUGACCUUUUAACCAUUGCUAAAAGUCUAAGCAUUUUUACCCAAACAGAUUCAAAGAUGAAAUCUAACGUGAUUAAGAAAGCGCUCCAAUUGGUCCGGUACUUAUGAGGCAUACAAGCUGGACUUAUGGUUGCAACAGAUUCAUCAUGCAAAAAAGAUAUAGACUCGAGUUAUGGUAAACAUAUCUUUCUCAACAGACACACUAAUCUAAAAAUUAAACGAGAACAAGCGAGAAAUGGAUUUUAUAGAAACUAAUACAAAAAUAAACAAUAUUCAUGUCAUCAAUUCAAAAGAGAAAUGGGAGAAGGAUCCUCAACGAGCUAAAAGGGAAGCCAAUCAUAUCCAAUACGUUUAAGAGAAGUAUAAAUAAUUAACAAUAUGAAUUAACACCUAUCCAAUGAUUAGAACUACUUAAACAAGUUUAUGAAUACAACAUUGAUCCAUAUCUGUCUCUUUACUGAUGACAAGAAAAUCAAGCGACUAUAUCACUUCCAAUGAACUGAACUCAAAGGAUAUAACUUAUUCAACUAGCUGCCAAGGAAGUUGAUUUCAACCCUUUACAACAAAAACCAAAAAAAUAGCCUCACGAACUUAACAACACAUUUUUUCAAAAAAAAUACCUAAGCAGCUAACCAAAUCAGAGAGAAAUAAGCACACGAAUUCAAACAUGGUCUUUAAGACCUUACUCAAUACACCAAUUUCAUUCUCACUUAGGAAGCUUUACAUUAACGAAACAACAAGAAAAAUAAUAAAAAAUCCUAGGUUUCUACCACACAUAAUCCCACCAUCACUAUAAAAUCGCUACUCGUACGAAGAGAACGGAAGAAGACGAUGAAAUAACGAAAAGAAAAACAUGUUUACCUUUUUCGGUGCAGCAAACGGGACUAGGGGCUAAAGACUCUUUUGAUAUCUAAAAUCCCUUACAAAUUGGGGAUCUCUGCUAUCCAACCUCUCUUCUUCCAACCCCUUUUAAGAGUGAAUGGAUGGGGUUCAUAUAGGACCCCAAAAAAUUUUAAUUCUUGAGAAAUUGGCGAUGUUGGAUACAAAAUUUCAAGGGUUUUUUGGAAAAUUUCUUGAGGGGAAUUUCAAAUCCACCAAGGGAUAAGGAUUAGUGAGCUGAAACUGUAGUAAUUCGUAUGAAUUUUUCCUUGAAUUGUGUAUUUUAAAUGUUGGCUGAUGAGGUGUUGCUUGACGGUUGGGUUCACGAGUUGCUGUUGACUAUUGUUGUUGCGGUAGUUGAUGGUUGAAGUUGUUGUUCGAUGUUGUUUGGGUCGUUUUCGCUGUUGAAGUUGUUAUCGUUGGUACGAAUGAGUAUGAGGGAGGGGUGAAGGGUGUGGGCCGGGUCGGUUUUG